UGAUGGACUAGGCUGGGCACUGCUGAUGAACCUUCCAUUCCUGAGAGAAAAAUCAUCUAAAUGUCUUCUUCAGCUUUCUAGAAGUCAUUAUGAGGGGCCCUGACUAACUGAGGAGACUCAUACAGAAACCCCGGUCCCCAUCACAGCUACCUGGUUACCGUGUUCCUCCAAGAUGGCCACCCCUUGGAAGGAUUAUCGUGGGCUUCAAAGAAGAAAGAAAACCAAAAGGCCAUCAACAAAUUGAAAAUUGAAAUUGAGGCAAGUCUAAUGAUUUAGGCCCACAGAAACCUCAGACUACAUUGUCCUGUGAUCACCUAGCCUGAGAGGUACGUCCUUAUGAGGCCAAGGCUUUCAGAGCAUCUCAGCCCAUCUCGCAUGUAUUCAAGCCACACGACGGUGGUGGUGUGAGGUGCUGGAGGAAUAGGGCCUGCUGUAACAUUUCCUUCUUCUCAAAGACCUUACAACCUGUUGAGGUUUGCUGGCAGACCAAACUCCA